rnacentral:sRNA from 1 species
CUUCCUCCGGCAAGUACACCCAGCAUGGUGGAGGGAAUGCCAGCCGGCCUGCUGAGUCCAUGCAUGAGGGAGUCUGUUCUUUCCUGAGCUUUCUAUGCACCAAGACCUCAGCCAGGGACAUGAGGUCCAGCUGCCCCCUGUCAACCGCAGCCUCAAGCCUAACCAGAAAG